UCUGGGCAGCGUAGCGACUGCCUGUAACCCGAGCGGGAGUAAGAGAGAUGGGAGCUGGGGCCCUCGCAGAGGACCGCUGGGACCAUGUCGAAGGCACGUCCACUCGAAGCGUGGAGUCUCUGAUCUGGGCUCCUCGGCGGAAGCCAGGGGAGUCUGGGGAGAUGAUGCGGAGGGCACAGCGUGAGGCGGGCGACCGAGCAGCGAUCACUUCCCGCUCUGCGCAGUCGAGGGACCGCGUGCUUGAAUGCUUGCCAGCGAUCAUCCGAUGUGAGCAGCUUCCUGCAACCUCUCUC
rfam:Marchantia polymorpha subsp. polymorpha scaffold590, whole genome shotgun sequence.